GAUGAAGAACGCAGCGAAAUGCGAUAAGUAAUGCGAAUUGCGGAAUUCAGUGAAUCAUCGAAUCUUUGAACGCACAUUGCGCCCGCCAGUAUUCUGGCGGGCAUGCCUGUCUGAGCGUCGUUUCGACCCUCGCGCCCGGCUUCUGUCGGGGGCGGUGUUGGGGAUCGGCCACACCCUUCAGUGGGAGGCCGGCCCCUAAAUUCAGUGGCGACCACGCUGUAGCCUCCCCUGCGUAGUACUAAAACCACCUCGCAGGCGGAGAGCGGUGCGGCCCGCCGUAAAACCCCCCAACUUUUACAAGGUCGACCUCAGAUCAGGUAGGAAUACCCGCUGAACUUAAGCAUAUCAAUAAGCGGAGGA
rnacentral:misc_RNA from 1 species